rnacentral:rRNA from 1 species
CCCUUAGAUGUUCUGGGCCGCACGCGCGCUACACUGACGCAUUCAACGAGUCUAAAACCUGCUCUGAUAGGGGUGGGUAAUCUUUUGAAUGUGCAUCGUGAUUGGGAUAGAUGAUUGCAAUUUUUCAUCUUCAACGAGGAAUGCCUAGUAAACGCAAGUCAUCAGCUUGCAUUGAUUACGUCCCUGCCCUUUGUACACACCGCCCGUCGCUCCUACCGAUUGAAUGAUCCGAUGAAUAUCAUGGAUUGAGGAUGCAAGUAGGUUCGCCUAUCUUCAUCUUCGAGAAGUGAAGUAAAUCUUAUCAUUUAGAGGAAGGAGAAGUCGUAACA